rnacentral:rRNA from 1 species
GACGAACGCUGGCGGCGUGCUUAACACAUGCAAGUCGAACGGAAAGGCCCUGCUUUUGUGGGGUGCUCGAGUGGCGAACGGGUGAGUAACACGUGAGUAACCUGCCCUUGACUUUGGGAUAACUUCAGGAAACUGGGGCUAAUACCGGAUAGGAGCUCCUGCUGCAUGGUGGGGGUUGGAACGUUUCGGCGGUUGGGGAUGGACUCGCGGCUUAUCAGCUUGUUGGUGGGGUAGUGGCUUACCAAGGCUUUGACGGGUAGCCGGCCUGAGAGGGUGACCGGCCACAUUAGGACUGAGAUACGGCCCAGACUGCUACGGGAGGCAGCAGUGGGGAAUAUUGCACAAUGGGCGGAAGCCUGAUGCAGAAACGCCGCGUGCGGGAUGACGGCCUUCGGGUUGUAAACCGCUUUCGCCUGUGACGAAGCGUGAGUGACGGUAAUGGGUAAAGAAGCACCGGCUAACUACAUG